GACGAACGCUGGCGGCGUGCUUAACACAUGCAAGUCGAACGGAAAGGCCCGGCUUUUGUGGGGUGCUCGAGUGGCGAACGGGUGAGUAACACGUGAGUAACCUGCCCUUGACUUUGGGAUAACUUCAGGAAACUGGGGCUAAUACCGGAUAGGAGCUCCUGCUGCAUGGUGGGGGUUGGAAAGUUUCGGCGGUUGGGGAUGGACUCGCGGCUUAUCAGCUUGUUGGUGGGGUAGUGGCUUACCAAGGCUUUGACGGGUAGCCGGCCUGAGAGGGUGACCGGCGACAUUGGGACUGAGGUACGGCCCAGACUCCUACGGGAGGCAGCAGUGGGGAAUAUUGCACAACGGGCGGAAGCCUGAUGCAGCAACGCCGCGUGCGGGAUGACGGCCUUCGGGUUGUAAACCGCUUUCGCCUGUGACGAAGCGUGAGUGACGGUAAUGGGUAAAGAAGCACCGGCUAACUACGUG
rnacentral:rRNA from 1 species